UGGGGAAUAUUGCACAAUGGGGGAAACCCUGAUGCAGCGACGCCGCGUGGAGGAAGAAGGCCCUCGGGUUGUAAACUCCUGUCUUUGGGGACGAUAAUGACGGUACCCAAGGAGGAAGCCACGGCUAACUACGUGCCAGAAGCCGCGGUAAAACGUAGGUGGCAAGCGUUGUCCGGAAUUACUGGGUGUAAAGGGAGCGCAGGCGGAGCGGCAAGUUGGAGGUGAAACCCAUGGGCUCAACCCAUGAACUGCCUUCAAAACUGUCGGUCUUGAGUGGUGUAGAGGUAAGCGGAAUGCCCGGUGUAGCGGUGGAAUGCGUAGAUAUCGGGAGGAACACCAGUGGCGAAGGCGGCUUACUGGGCACUAACUGACGCUGAGGCUCGAAAGCAUGGGUAGCAAACAGGA
rnacentral:rRNA from 1 species